rnacentral:rRNA from 1 species
GUGGGGAAUAUUGGACAAUGGGCGAAAGCCUGAUCCAGCCAUGCCGCGUGUGUGAAGAAGGUCUUCGGAUUGUAAAGCACUUUAAGUUGGGAGGAAGGGCAGUAAGUUAAUACCUUGCUGUUUUGACGUUACCGACAGAAUAAGCACCGGCUAACUUCGUGCCAGCAGCCGCGGUAAUACGAAGGGUGCAAGCGUUAAUCGGAAUUACUGGGCGUAAAGCGCGCGUAGGUGGUUCAGCAAGUUGGAGGUGAAAUCCCCGGGCGCAACCUGGGAACUGCCGCCAAAACUACUGGGCUAGAGUACGGUAGAGGGUAGUGGAAUUUCCUGUGUAGCGGUGAAAUGCGUAGAUAUAGGAAGGAACACCAGUGGCGAAGGCGACUACCUGGACUGAUACUGACACUGAGGUGCGAAAGCGUGGGGAGCAAACAGGAUUAGAAACCCUUGUAGUCC